rnacentral:lncRNA from 1 species
GAGGAUUGCUUUUUAGGCCCCCUCAAUAUCUCUUUAGGCCCCCUAAAAAUACAAAAAUAACCUUUAUAAGACUUCCGGUAGAUAAAUACCGGUAGUUCAUUUUAACUUUUCUCAUUUUGCACCUCCGGUAUGUACAUACCGAAGGCACAUUUUCAAACUGUUGGAAUUACCAAAUUGAAAACAUUCACAGUAUUUUUUGUACACUUAGACCUUUUGCAAUUGCAACCUCUUUUGUGUCUUAGGUCCAUUGGCAUCAUCAGUACUUGUUUUCUUCCUAUAUAGAGCAAUGCAAUAUUUGGUAAAACUAGCAAACAUGUAAAGAAUAAAAAUUAUGACCUAUGAGAAAGAUCAUGAUAACUAAAUUUUUCCUAGAGGUGCUAGAAUGGUUGAAUUCCUCAGCAUUUGCAGGGCUUACUUUCCUCUUAUAAGGUGCGUUUGUCGGAUAUACGUCGAUGGUUUCUGUCAAGAUAAGAGACUCGGAAGUGAAAGAAUCUGCAACUACUGAAGCAUCAGUUUCAUGGCUCUCAUUCCUAGUAUCAAUAAAAGAUUGACCAAUGACCAUCCAUAUUGAACGGAGUUAAGGAUCUUGUCACGUUUUCCACUAUAUGGAAACUUAUAGAAGAUUUGGACCCCGGUAAACCAUCUGAUAAUUUCAUACAUGUAGUUGAAAAUGUGCCUCCGGUAUGUACAUACCGAAGGUUUAAAAU